GCUGCUCCUAGAGGCAUUGAAGCUGUAGUUGUAUGCCACAUGUGAGUCAGUAGGUGGCAGAAAAGAUCAAGGCUAUGACUAUGCUCAGUGUUCUGACUUGUGAACAUCUGAAUGAUGAGUAGCCUAACAUU